CGAGGCCCCUCACGCGGCGCCAUCUCGCUGAACCCCCCCAGGGCCGGAAGGCAGCAAGGGUAGGUGAGCUCUGACGGGUGCGUGAGGGGUCCUUCGU
rnacentral:SRP_RNA from 3 species